GAAGAGCAACGUGAUGACAUACUCAGAAUAGCCAGAGGAGCAGGGACAGAAGAUUUGUAAGAAAAUCUGUCUGGAUCUGCAGAAAUGCAAAGAGGUCAGAGACCCAGAACCAGGAUAGCCCUGUGCUGUGAGACCGCCAGUCUGGGUGCUGGGUCCUCCGUGCCUUAUCGGGGAGACAGCAGGUGUACGAGUAUACCAGGAAGGCACAGAUUAAACCAACGGCUCCAAAACUGUCUGUGAAUCAGAAUCACUGGGAGCUUCUUAGAAGCACACAUUGCCCCACGUCCCAUUUCCAGAGUCUGGUGUAGGGGGUCUCGAGUGGGGCGCAAGAACUUUUACUUUUUACACUGCCCUCCCACCCCCAACCUCAAAGGCUCUGUUGAGUAGCCAGUUCUGAGUCUUGAUCUUCUAGCUUUUCCCACCCCAUUCAUUCAGCCUGCAAGGAAGAGCGGGAGAAGAGGCAGGUCAGAUGUUUACCAGAAAGCCUCUCCUGACACCUACAGCUCUAGAUAAAUCCAAUCUCUCCUAGGCCGAGUCAGUUCUCAUAGGUCUUGUGAAUAUUAAUUUUUUUCUUUGUCCGGCAUCUGAGCCGUCUGAUCUCCAUUUUGGGAAUUCACAAUUGUCUCAGUCUUGGUGGAAGACAGGGUCCUGUCUCUGGCUGAGGAAAACUAAAAUGCCAGCUGAGUCCUGCUAAACCAAGUAGAGUGGAGUAGUGAAGAGGAAGAGAGAACCAGGACCAUCUGGCAGACAACAGAUUCCUCUCUAUUCGUGCCGGUGGGUAAGCGUCCAAGGCAAGAAGACUGCAGCUCUGAGACCUUGUCUGACUCAGGAGCUCACGGCCUGUUCAGCGCCGACUUCUCCCCAAUCCCAGAGGUCUUCCCAGCGGGGCACGGGAUCUGUUUGAGACAACAGCCUUCGUUCCCGCAACGACAGACUCAGAAGGUCUGCGGGAGCCAGAGAAUUAUUUGGCCUUGGAAAUGGGAGAAACAGCAGCAAGAAGAGAAAAAAGUCAAGCCAAGAGGAACACUGGAGGAGCGUUCUAGGUUGGCAGGGUGGUGCGGGAGGCAGAGGCAGGGGCAUAGCCUUGAGCAUGUGCGA